rnacentral:rRNA from 1 species
AAUGGAUUAAGAGCUUGCUCUUAUGAAGUUAGCGGCGGACGGGUGAGUAACACGUGGGUAACCUGCCCAUAAGACUGGGAUAACUCCGGGAAACCGGGGCUAAUACCGGAUAACAUUUUGAACCGCAUGGUUCGAAAUUGAAAGGCGGCUUCGGCUGUCACUUAUGGAUGGACCCGCGUCGCAUUAGCUAGUUGGUGAGGUAACGGCUCACCAAGGCAACGAUGCGUAGCCGACCUGAGAGGGUGAUCGGCCACACUGGGACUGAGACACGGCCCAGACUCCUACGGGAGGCAGCAGUAGGGAAUCUUCCGCAAUGGACGAAAGUCUGACGGAGCAACGCCGCGUGAGUGAUGAAGGCUUUCGGGUCGUAAAACUCUGUUGUUAGGGAAGAACAAGUGCUAGUUGAAUAAGCUGGCACCUUGACGGUACCUAACCAGAAAGCCACGGCUAACUACGUGCCAGCAGCCGCGGUAAUACGUAGGUGGCAAGCGUUAUCCGGAAUUAUUGGGCGUAAAGCGCGCGCAGGUGGUUUCUUAAGUCUGAUGUGAAAGCCCACGGCUCAACCGUGGAGGGUCAUUGGAAACUGGGAGACUUGAGUGCAGAAGAGGAAAGUGGAAUUCCAUGUGUAGCGGUGAAAUGC